UACGGAGGAUGCGAGCGUUAUCCGGAUUUAUUGGGUUUAAAGGGUGCGUAGGCGGAAGGUUAAGUCAGCGGUCAAAUGUCGGUGCUCAACACCGGCCUGCCGUUGAAACUGGUCUUCUUGAGUGAGCGAGAAGUAUGCGGAAUGCGUGGUGUAGCGGUGAAAUGCAUAGAUAUCACGCAGAACUCCGAUUGCGAAGGCAGCAUACCGGCGCCCAACUGACGCUGAAGCACGAAAGCGUGGGUAUCGAACAGGG
rnacentral:rRNA from 1 species